AAUCCAUGAUGCGGGCACCGCUUAAGAAGGUCCUUGAAUCGUUCAUGUGCCUCGAGCAGUAUUUCUAAUUCUCCUUGCUUAAAUGCUGAGAUCUCUUGCCUGAUCUU